UAGGGAAUCUUCCACAAUGGACGCAAGUCUGAUGGAGCAACGCCGCGUGAGUGAAGAAGGUUUUCGGAUCGUAAAGCUCUGUUGUUGGUGAAGAAGGAUAGAGGUAGUAACUGGCCUUUAUUUGACGGUAAUCAACCAGAAAGUCACGGCUAACUACGUGCCAGCAGCCGCGGUAAUACGUAGGUGGCAAGCGUUGUCCGGAUUUAUUGGGCGUAAAGCGAGCGCAGGCGGAAGAAUAAGUCUGAUGUGAAAGCCCUCGGCUGAACCGAGGAACUGCAUCGGAAACUGUUUUUCUUGAGUGCAGAAGAGGAGAGUAGAAUUCCAUGUGUAGCGGUGGAAUGCGUAGAUAUAUGGAAGAACACCAGUGGCGAAGGCGACUCUCUGGUCUGCAACUGACGCUGAGGCUCGAAAGCAUGGGUAGCGAACAGG
rnacentral:rRNA from 1 species